rnacentral:SRP_RNA from 14 species
AAGGCAGCAGCGGCAAGCGGGGCGCUGAGGGUGCUGAAGUCAUCC